rnacentral:lncRNA from 1 species
CCAAGUACCAAAUUAGCCAGAGAUUUCUUAUAAGUUGACAGCUUUCUCAAGCCACAAAAUGCUUCGGGUACAGGUUUCCCUUCAGGAAAGUCAGACUCAUAUCCUUGGAAGGAAUUAAAAUGUUUGUCAAGCAGGCUCCUCCUCAUAAAAAAUGCCCGUCCCGACAUUUUCCAAGAUUCUUCUGUUCAAGUCAAGUGAAUACUGAAGAUGUCCUUCAUGGGUGGCCUCGUCUCUAGUCUAUUCUCAGAAAAGAGCUGCCAUUUACCAUCCAUCACCUACCACAAUUAGGUUUAUACCACGAGCUCCAGCCCCCCACCUCACUAUAGCUGACUGUAGCAGCUAAUCUUUAAACUAUUCAGUAGCCC